UACGAGGGGGGCAAGCGUUGUUCGGAAUUAUUGGGCGUAAAGGGCUCGUAGGCGGUUUGUCGCGUCUGCCGUGAAAGUCCGGGGCUCAACUCCGGAUCUGCGGUGGGUACGGGCAGACUAGAGUGCAGUAGGGGAGACUGGAAUUCCUGGUGUAGCGGUGGAAUGCGCAGAUAUCAGGAGGAACACCAAUAGCGAAGGCAGCUCGCUGGGACGUUACUGACACUGAGGCGCGAAAGCGUGGGGAGCGAACAGG
rnacentral:rRNA from 1 species